rfam:Triticum urartu cultivar G1812 contig842854, whole genome shotgun sequence.
UGCAUACACCCUCCGUCCCAAAUUACUUGUUGUAGAAAUGGAUAAAAAUGGAUGUAUCUAGAAUUAAAAUACGUGUAGAUACAUCCAUUUAUGUGACAAUUAAUUUUGUACGGAGGGAGUAUGAA